rnacentral:rRNA from 1 species
AACGAACGCUGGCGGCAGGCCUAACACAUGCAAGUCGAGCGCGCCCUUCGGGGUGAGCGGCGGACGGGUGAGUAACGCGUGGGAACGUGCCCUUUUCUACGGAAUAGCCUCGGGAAACUGAGAGUAAUACCGUAUACGCCCUUUGGGGGAAAGAUUUAUCGGAAAAGGAUCGGCCCGCGUUGGAUUAGGUAGUUGGUGGGGUAAUGGCCUACCAAGCCGACGAUCCAUAGCUGGUGUGAGAGGAUGACCAGCCACACUGGGACUGAGACACGGCCCAGACUCCUACGGGAGGCAGCAGUGGGGAAUCUUAGACAAUGGGGGCAACCCUGAUCUAGCCAUGCCGCGUGAGUGAUGAAGGCCUUAGGGUUGUAAAGCUCUUUCAGCUGGGAAGAUAAUGACGGUACCAGCAGAAGAAGCCCCGGCUAACUCCGUG